UGCACAUGCGCAUUGCGAGUAUGCGCAGACAGGUGUCUACGGAGUGGAAAGAAGUUGUUGCAUCUGAUAAUUCUUCAAUUGUGUAGCAGCAACUGCAGCUUACAUGGAAUGAGGAUUAUCGGAUUCAUCUACACUCACUGAUCAUCCAAGGUGAAUUGAUGACCUCAAGCAAAUGGAUGUUGUUGUCAUCUGAAGAGAAGGUUGUCCUGGGCCCAUGUUUAGAGGCAUUUGGGGCAUAUCAGACACAUAUCAGAAUCAAGCUGCAUGCACACUUGAGUUUAUUCAGAGAGAAGUUGUGGGCAUCAGUCCGGAAACUGGAUCAAAAAUUUGCUGCUGGAAUGUGAGACAAAUAAAGGCAUGGAAUGAACCCAAAUGUAUGAACACUGCUACGAAAACUAAUGGACUUUGAAUGGCUUGCCAGUUAAUUCCAAUGGAAUUGAAGAAGAGACUCUGACAAGAUUUUCAAGUUUGUGUUUAAUUUAAAAGUUUAUCUUCAUAGAUAAGCAAUUUAAAGGUAGGCACAGUUAAAACUAUUUCUUGUGUGUUUGUUUAAACUGUAAAUUUAUGACUGAAGUUUGGUCACUAUGUAGUAAUGUGUUCCUUUGUGGUUAAUUAAAUGCUGCAGUGCUUAGUGGUAUUCGUUGUUGUAUUUCCAAGGCUAAAGCCUUAUUUUGUGAUCUGCAUUGUAUUGGAGAGUUUUGGAAACUAAUACUUAUUAUCUUAAUGCAUUGGAAAGUUUUGGACUAUUGAACAAUAAAUGCAUUUGGCU